rnacentral:rRNA from 1 species
CAGUCGCCACGGGAAUACGAAGGGUGCAAGCGUUAAUCGGAAUUACUGGGCGUAAAGCGCGCGUAGGUGGUUUGGUAAGAUGGAUGUGAAAUCCCCGGGCUCAACCUGGGAACUGCAUCCAUAACUGCCUGACUAGAGUACGGUAGAGGGUGGUGGAAUUUCCUGUGUAGCGGUGAAAUGCGUAGAUAUAGGAAGGAACACCAGUGGCGAAGGCGACCACCUGGACUGAUACUGACACUGAGGUGCGAAAGCGUGGGGAGCAAACAGGAUUAGAGACCCCAGUAGUCCCUGUCUCUUAUAA